AAGGGAGCCCCUUAACACUUUUGGAGGGAACUGGCUGCAGCAUUUGGCGGGGAGAGAUAAACUGGUUUCCCACCUCUGCUUACUCCCACCUUCUCCCCUUAAUCUUCUCUUCCUCUGUGCGAGACUUUUUUCCUUUUUUAUUGUAGACACAGGGUCUUUGUUCUGCUGCCCAGGUUGGAGUGCAGUGGCGUGAUCAUAGCUCACUGCAGCCUCAACCCCCCGGGCCCAAGCGAUCCUUCCACCUCAGCCUCCCGAGUAGCUGGGCCUAGAGGUGCACACCACCAUGCCUGGCUAAUUUUUAAUUUUUUUUGUAGAGAUGGAGCCUUUCUAUGUUGCCAAGCCUAGCCUCGAACUCCUGGCCUCCCAAAAUGUGGGGAAUACAGGCGUGAGCCACUGCACCCCGGGUCAUUCCUCUUUUACUUCCUUGCUGUACCCCAACUAUCCUUCCCCCUCGGUGCCCUUAAAACCUUUGCAUUGGGUAAGUACAUUUUUUAAAGAGACUCUAGAAUUGGGCGCCAGUCUCCAAUUAAAAUUGUGAAGCUUUAUGGUCUGCGUAUCAAAAGGAACCUCAGUUCCUUAAAAAUCCUGUCAUUUUGCCUUUAGGACUUAACGGUAAUAGAAUGGCAUUCCUCACUGCCUCCGAACCACUCAAGCUGCUGCCCAUGCACUCUCUUCUGCAUGGCUCCUGGACUAAGCAGCCUCCCUUUGAUUAAGCAGAGACAAGAAUCUCACUCUGUCAUCUGUGGCAAGAUCAUCUUACUGAGGCCUCAAACUCCCGGGCUCCAGCGAUCCCCCUCGGGCCUCUCAGCCUCCUGCGUAGCUAGAACUACAGGAAUGUGCCAGCAUGCCUA
rnacentral:lncRNA from 1 species